UGAAGGACCAUGCUGUCCAGUAUAACAGCUAGGUUUACAAACACAGUGUGUUUCUCCCCAUCACCCAGGCUUCAGCCAUCAGAUUGUAGUUCUAUUGAAGGACCAUGCUGUCCAGUAUAACAGCCGUGUCUCAUACUAGGUUUACAAACACAGUGUGUUUCUCCCCAUCACCCAGGCUUCAGCCAUCAGAUUGUAGUUCUAUUGAAGGACCAUGCUGUCCAGUAUAACAGCCGUGUCUCAUACUAGGUUUACAAACACAGUGUGUUUCUCCCCAUCACCCAGGCUUCAGCCAUCAGAUUGUAGUUCUAUUGAAGGACCAUGCUGUCCAGUAUAACAGCUAGGUUUACAAACACAGUGUGUUUCUCCCCAUCACCCAGGCUUCAGCCAUCAGAUUGUAGUUCUAUUGAAGGACCAUGCUGUCCAGUAUAACAGCUAGGUUUACAAACACAGUGUGUUUCUCCCCAUCACCCAGGCUUCAGCCAUCAGAUUGUAGUUCUAUUGAAGGACCAUGCUGUCCAGUAUAACAGCUAGGUUUACAAACACAGUGUGUUUCUCCUCGUCACCCAGGCUUCAGCCAUCAGAUUGUAGUUCUAUUGAAGGACCAUGCUGUCCAGUAUAACAGCUAGGUUUACAAACACAGUGUGUUUCUCCCCAUCACCCAGGCUUCAGCCAUCAGAUUGUAGUUCUAUUGAAGGACCAUGCUGUCCAGUAUAACAGCCGUGUCUCAUACUAGGUUUACAAACACAGUGUGUUUCUCCCCAUCACCCAGGCUUCAGCCAUCAGAUUGUAGUUCUAUUGAAGGACCAUGCUGUCCAGUAUAACAGCUAGGUUUACAAACACAGUGUGUUUCUCCCCAUCACCCAGGCUUCAGCCGUCAGAUUGUAGUUCUAUUGAAGGACCAUGCUGUCCCAG